CCCAUCUGGGGAGAGGGAGGUCUUGCGGGUGAGGAGUUUUAACAACUGAAAUGCAGAGACAAGCAUCAGAAGGACUCAUCUAUUCCCCCUUGAGCAAAAUCAACUGAGGGAGAAGGAAGAAAGGGAGUGGGGGGAGCCUUCCAAGUCGAAUGAGUCGCUGAGUUAAAUUACAGGGGCCUGGGAGGGAUGAUUAACAACCCUCAUGGUUUUCUGCUUCACAGCCAUUACUCACCCCAAACCUGGGGCUUCUCGGUUACAUAGCCCAGCGCAGGCCGACCAUUUUUUCCAUUGACUGAAAACACAUUCUGACUGAAAACAAACUUUGGAUCCCCGAGGCUUGGCAGGCCCUGGGUCCUUCUCCAUAUUUAAUCAACGGGAAGCUAAACACUUUCAAUCUGUGAUGGCUCAUUUGGACGGGGUCUCGGGGCUUUUGCUUGGUGCCAGAUAUAAUAACUCUCCUCUCUCUUUUCUAAGGCCUAUUUUAUAAUUUUGCUGUUUUUCAAUGUCAAGCCCAUCUUUUGAAGAAUUUUUAUUGGAUUUCCUGCUAGACUUCAAUGAGGAUUUUUCUUGCUUUGGCAGAAGUAUCAAGCAGAACAGGGGAAAAACUCAAUCAUCGUCUUGGAGAGUCGUGAUGAGCUGCGGAUACCCCAAGAAUGGACAGGAAGGGCUCCAUCCCGGAGGCUCCUGGUUUACCAGCCACAGCCACGGUCUCUGCUCCUGCUCCCAGGCAACAUUCAGAUCUUCAGUGUUUCUUCACAGAGAUUAUUCCCCAGAGGAAGCAGCUUGCCACCUGUUCCUCAGUUUACCCAUGUUCGCCUAAAAAAAAAACCAAGAAAAUCAGCCCUCUUCCUUCUUAACGGAGCUUGAGAUAAAGACAAGUCAGAAGAUGGGCCUGUGUUCUUGCCUCUCUCCAGCAGCCCAGGCUCAGCGAAAACAGCUUCUCUUGCGAGCUGAAACUUACCCAAACGAACCAGGAAUAAAAACUUUCAGAAGCAAACGUAACCUUUGGAGCUGCUUGCAUUUGUACCCUCUUGACGUGUGCCUACAAUGAAAGUGGGAGAAGAGAGGAGAGAGCCGAGGUGUCGUGGAAGGGAUUUUAGACAUCAGAGGACUCCAGGUCUGAUCCCAGCUCCGCCAGUGGGCCAUCAGUAUGACCUGAGACCAAGGCUUCCCCUCCCAGACCCCCAUUUCUUUAUCUCAGUGGUGAAAGGUUGAACCAAAUGACCUCCUGUCCUCUGACUCUCAGGGAGCUUCGUCUUUCCGUGGCACCCAUGCUGGUCUGGACAGAACUGGAGGGUGUAGAGUUUGAGCAGCACCUGUGUUUACACUGUACAAUCUGCAGUUUACUGUAAUAAAAUCAUUUAAUACAC